GAUGAACGCUGGCGGCGUGCCUAACACAUGCAAGUCGAACGAAGCACCUUACCUGAUUCUUCGGAUGAAAGUUUGGUGACUGAGUGGCGGACGGGUGAGUAACGCGUGGGUAACCUGCCCUGUACAGGGGGAUAACAGCUGGAAACGGCUGCUAAUACCGCAUAAGCGCACGAGGAGACAUCUCCUUGUGUGAAAAACUCCGGUGGUACAGGAUGGGCCCGCGUCUGAUUAGCUGGUUGGCAAGGUAACGGCCUACCAAGGCAACGAUCAGUAGCCGGUCUGAGAGGAUGAACGGCCACAUUGGAACUGAGACACGGUCCAAACUCCUACGGGAGGCAGCAGUGGGGAAUAUUGCACAAUGGGGGAAACCCUGAUGCAGCAACGCCGCGUGAGUGAAGAAGUAUUUCGGUAUGUAAAGCUCUAUCAGCAGGGAAGAUAAUGACGGUACCUGACGAAGAAGCUCCGGCUAAAUACGUG
rnacentral:rRNA from 1 species